GACGAACGCUGGCGGCGUGCCUAAUACAUGCAAGUCGAACGAGAGCGCCCGGUGCUUGCACUGGUCAAUCUAGUGGCGAACGGGUGAGUAACACGUGGGUAACCUGCUCAUCAGAGGGGGAUAACAUCCGGAAACGGAUGCUAAAACCGCAUAGGUCUUCGAGCCGCAUGGCUUGAAGAGGAAAAGAGGCGCAAGCUUCUGCUGAUAGAUGGACCCGCGGUGCAUUAGCUAGUUGGUGAGGUAACGGCUCACCAAGGCCGUGAUGCAUAGCCGACCUGAGAGGGUGAUCGGCCACAUUGGGACUGAGACACGGCCCAAACUCCUACGGGAGGCAGCAGUAGGGAAUCUUCCGCAAUGGACGCAAGUCUGACGGAGCAACGCCGCGUGAGUGAAGAAGGUUUUCGGAUCGUAAAACUCUGUUGUUAGAGAAGAACAAGUGCUAGAGUAACUGUUAGCGCCUUGACGGUAUCUAACCAGAAAGCCACGGCUAACUACGUG
rnacentral:rRNA from 1 species